rnacentral:rRNA from 1 species
UUUUGUGGAGGGUUCGAUUCUGGCUCAGGAUGAACGCUGGCGGCGUGCUUAACACAUGCAAGUCGAACGGGAUCCAUCAGGCUUUGCUUGGUGGUGAGAGUGGCGAACGGGUGAGUAAUGCGUGACCGACCUGCCCCAUACACCGGAAUAGCUCCUGGAAACGGGUGGUAAUGCCGGAUGCUCCGACUCCUCGCAUGGGGUGUCGGGAAAGAUUUCAUCGGUAUGGGAUGGGGUCGCGUCCUAUCAGGUAGUCGGCGGGGUAACGGCCCACCGAGCCUACGACGGGUAGCCGGCCUGAGAGGGCGACCGGCCACAUUGGGACUGAGAUACGGCCCAGACUCCUACGGGAGGCAGCAGUGGGGAAUAUUGCACAAUGGGCGCAAGCCUGAUGCAGCGACGCCGCGUGCGGGAUGACGGCCUUCGGGUUGUAAACCGCUUUUGAUCGGGAGCAAGCCUUCGGGUGAGUGUACCUUUCGAAUAAGCACCGGCUAACUACGUGCCAGCAGCCGCGGUAAUACGUAGGGUGCAAGCGUUAUCCGGAAUUAUUGGGCGUAAAGGGCUCGUAGGCGGUUCGUCGCG